GUUCAGAAGUACAGAUGGACCUUGCAGUCAGUGCUGUGGCACCCCAAGGUGAAGGAAACCAGGCUUUUGUCUGAGUUGGAUCCUGCUAGGAGGCCGAGGCAGUGAACCGCAGACAAGCCCUGAGGUUUGCAGUUGCCAGAGGGGGCUCCUUAAAAUGCUGACUGGCUGCCAUGGAAGGUUGGGGACCAGUCAGACCAGUCAAUUCCUGAAAACCACCAGAUUGUUCAAGCAGAGAAGGUUGAUGUUGGGACUGGAGUGAGAACAAGAUGGCAGCUACUGGAUGCUGAUAAAGACAAGGUCAGAUGUGCAAACACUAGCCCUUCCCUGGUCAAUAUUAGUGUGUGAAGACCAAGACAAGAGCAUGUCUGUAUUCCUAGGAAGGAACUGGCAGCCAUGGACACGCAGACGGCUUCUCUGAACAGGUGCUCCAAAAGAAAAGCCUUCCUAAAUUAUUUGUGAAAGCAAAUUUCACUGCAG
rnacentral:lncRNA from 1 species